rnacentral:rRNA from 1 species
AUUGAACGCUGGCGGCAUGCCUUACACAUGCAAGUCGAACGGUAACAGGUUAAGCUGACGAGUGGCGAACGGGUGAGUAAUGUAUCGGAACGUGCCCAGUCGUGGGGGAUAACUGCUCGAAAGAGCAGCUAAUACCGCAUACGACCUGAGGGUGAAAGCGGGGGAUCGCAAGACCUCGCGCGAUUGGAGCGGCCGCUAUCAGAUUAGGUAGUUGGUGAGGUAAAGGCUCACCAAGCCGACGAUCUGUAGCUGGUCUGAGAGGACGACCAGCCACACUGGGACUGAGACACGGCCCAGACUCCUACGGGAGGCAGCAGUGGGGAAUUUUGGACAAUGGGCGCAAGCCUGAUCCAGCCAUGCCGCGUGCGGGAAGAAGGCCUUCGGGUUGUAAACCGCUUUUGUCAGGAAAGAAAAGGUUCUGGCUAAUACCUGGGACUCAUGACGGUACCUGAAGAAUAAGCACCGGCUAACUACGUG